GGGGCUGAUUCUGGAUUCGACGGGAUUUGCGAAACCCAAGGUGCAUGCCGAGGGGCGGUUGGCCUCGUAAAAAGCCGCAAAAAAUAGUCGCAAACGACGAAAACUACGCUUUAGCAGCUUAAUAACCUGCUUAGAGCCCUCUCUCCCUAGCCUCCGCUCUUAGGACGGGGAUCAAGAGAGGUCAAACC
rnacentral:tmRNA from 1 species